UUGACUCAACGCGGGAAAUCUUACCGGGUCCGGACACACUGAGGAUUGACAGGCAAUAUCUCAUGUUAACGGUAAGUUUACUUACCGCUUAACAUCGAGUGUUAAAUAUGCUAGUCCUUUCAUGAUUAUGUGAUAGGUGGUGCAUGGCCGUUCUUAGUUCGUGGAGUGAUCUGUCUGCUUAAUUGCGUUUCACUAAGGGCCCAUAAAUUCAAGGUAUGUUAGCUCUCGUCGCUCUAUGGACCCCUUAACUCCAAUAUUCUUAUUGUGUUAAGCGCGUGUCUUUAUUUUAAGAGUUUUAAGACACUGCGCAUGCUGUUGGGCUCUGAAAGCAACGAACGUGACCGCAACGUCUUGUUGCCUUAAACUAGCGUAUAUUGCAAUUUAUUGNAAUAUCGCUUACAGAGGCUAUUUAAAACUAGACGGACCGCUGUUUCUUUCUUAAACCAGAGGAA
rnacentral:rRNA from 1 species